UUUCGAAAGGGAGACUAAUACCGCAUAACAUACUUUGAGGCAUCUUGAGGUAAUUAAAUCUUCGGAGGUAUAAGAUGGGCAUGCGUAGCAUUAGCUAGAUGGUGCGGUAACGGCGUACCAUGGCGACGAUGCUUAGGGGUUCUGAGAGGAAGGUCCCCCACACUGGUACUGAGAUACGGACCAGACUCCUACGGGAGGCAGCAGUGAGGAAUAUUGGUCAAUGGUCGGAAGACUGAACCAGCCAUGCCGCGUGCAGGAAGAAUGUCUUAUGGAUUGUAAACUGCUUUUUGUAUGGGGGCUAAUAAUAACUUUGCGAAGUUAGAUGCAGGUACCAUACGAAUAAGGAUCGGCUAACUCCGUG
rnacentral:rRNA from 1 species